GAUGAAGAACGUAGUGAAAUGCGAUAAGUAAUGUGAAUUGCAGAAUUCAGUGAAUCAUCGAAUCUUUGAACGCACAUUGCGCCCGCCAGUAUUCUGGCGGGCAUGCCUGUUCGAGCGUCAUUACAACCCUCAGGCCCCGGGCCUGGCGUUGGGGAUCGGCGGAGCCCCCCGUGGGCACACGCCGUCCCCCAAAUGCAGUGGCGGUCCCGCCGCAGCUUCCAUCGCGUAGUAGCUAACACCUCGCGACUGGAGAGCGGCGCGGCCACGCCGUAAAACACCCAACUCUUCUGAAGUUGACCUCGAAUCAGGUAGGAAUACCCGCUGAACUUAAGCAUAUCAAUAAGCGGAGGA
rnacentral:misc_RNA from 1 species